UACGUAGGGGGCAAGCGUUGUCCGGAUUUAUUGGGCGUAAAGAGCGUGUAGGCGGUUUGGUAGGUCCGUUGUGAAAACUCGAGGCUCAACCUCGAGACGCCGAUGGAAACCAUCAGACUAGAGUCCGGAAGAGGAGAGUGGAAUUCCUGGUGUAGCGGUGAAAUGCGCAGAUAUCAGGAGGAACACCGGUGGCGAAGGCGGGUCUCUGGGCCGAUACUGACGCUGAGGAGCGAAAGCAUGGGUAGCGAACAGG
rnacentral:rRNA from 1 species